CUCCUGACACUGGGGUGUAUGUGCUCAUUUGUCUGAUAACAUCCCUCAGGCGGAAUAAUAUCAGUGUGGUUGAAUCUCCCACAAAGUCCAGGAAGAACUACCAAGAAGCAGUGAAGAAGAGAGGACGCUUGUAAAUGAGACAUUAUCCUUGGAGAUUUUCUUGGCUGAAAAUGCUUUCUGAAGAGGCCGAGAUCAUCUCUCUGACUGCUGAAGACAUUGUAGGUGUGGACAUUUCGUAGUAUCCUCUGCUUAUAUUGCUCUGACAACAUCACGUGAUGGGAUGAGAGAUGACUUCCUCCAUGCUGCCCGGGUGCCACUCAGCAACGCACGUCAUGGUGUGUGAACACAGCGUUGACAGGCUUGUUGCUGUCAGCUCCUGUGCCCCCAGCCCGGCUCCCAAUGCUGGGAACUGCCUUCCCGGGGAGGGUCCAGCUCUGCUCUGCCCGCCCCAGGCUGUGUCAGGCUGCACAGACCACGCGGGCAGGAUCUGCACACGCACGGAAAAUGUGCGCGAUGUGACGGGACCCUCCAGGACUUCUGGCUGCUAAAAUGGAAGAAACCUCUCACCAUGUGCAACUGCAACCCUGCAAAGCUUAUAGCAUGGUCAGAUUCUCAAACGGAUAGGAAAGGCCGCCUCCCUGCCAAAUUUCACAUUGCGUUUCUAAAAUCCAAGGCAAAUGGAUCUACUAGGAAAGGAAAUUGCUAGAUUUCACCAGCAUUUUUUUUUCUCUUUUAAAACUAACCAUAUUCUUGGAACAUCUGAAUCUUCUGAGACAUUGUGAUAGAAAAUGCACCUCAGAUGGUUCAAAUUUGACAAACACUUAGGAAACAGAGUUUUAGAAAGGGACUCGCUGGGAAACCUUAAUAAUAAACAGAGCUAUCAAGCCAGUCGAUGUUUACAAUAAAAGAACAAACAAAUAAACAAUUGUGCCUUUUAGUAGCCUUGACAGUAAAUCUAAUCAGCAUAACAGAUUGCAAUAGAUCUCUUCCCCAUAAAAGUGGGAGCUUUGAGCAAGAGUUGAAGAAAGCUGGAUCUUGAUUUUUUUACUAGUUAAAUAAAAACUUUUGCUAGCUAAAGAAUGUACUGCAAUAUUCCAAAUUCAAAUGGAGAGUAAAAAAAGGUUUUGCAGAACACACAACUGUGUUGAAGGAUUUUAUUCAUUGGAAAGAAUCCUGUUCCAACUGGACUCCUGUUAUUUGCGAUGCCUUGAUCCACCCUGGCACCUAAUGCAAUCCCCUGCACAUUACACCUUGCAGAAACUUCCUUCCUGCACAGGGCUUUCCCAGAUCAGAAUAAGACUUUCCUUAUAACAUUUAGACAGUUGCUGCAAGUACACUUUAGGUACCAUUGCCAGAGUAACCCUCUGCUGGGAGGCAGAAGAAGGGAAUGACAUGGAAGUUCCUAUGUGAGAAGACGUGACAUAUAUCCACGGAUCAGCAUAAACAAGAAAAGGGGCAUUGCUGCAGCUGAGCUGCACUAAGAGUCAAUUUUCAGUGGGAUGGAGAUUUCAGGGACUGUUCCUUGCUCUCCAGCUUAACCCAGUGUGGAGAAUACUGAAUAUUACUUCCACAUUCCCCUCCAGCAUUACCCACAAAUCAAUCAGGCCUGCAAGUUGAUUAUAAGCUAUCUGGAGCAUAAGGCAUGUUGUUCUUCUUUGUAAGAAGUGGGGAAAACGCACAGCAACUUACACCCUGUUUGUAAUAAAAAAUGAAACUGAGAAGCCAUUACUUAAUUUAAUUCAAUACUGUUCACAACAUAGCUCAAUCCAAUUGAAACCGAAUAAACAUUUUCAUAUAAAUUCAAUUAGUUGUUGUGGGCUUAAGCAUGCAGUCUAUGUUGUGAAAUCAUGAACAAUAACUUGUUCCACCAGAACUGUUAAAUGAUUGCCUUAAGUCAGAGGAUAGAGAAAGCUGAAAAUCCAUUAUACUCUCUAACAGUCUUACUAAAACUAAUCAGCUGCUAGCUAAAUUUUCAGACCCCUAUUUCAUUAUCAUCUUUUCUAAUUGUAAAAACAAACACAUGCAUUCUGAGAUGAGGUAAAUAUAAAUGGUAUUUGAGACAUUGACAUAACAGGUCCAGUUUUGAGUCCUGCUCUGACUCCCAGAUACAUGGGGAAAGCUCCAUCAGGGCUGGGGGUCUCGGGAAGGGGAUGCGCCCUGGAGGGAGGUAAGAAGGGAAGUCCCCAAAACAACUUGUGUUGGAGCUCCAAAUGUUCACUCAGAGCUUUGUAUGUUCAUAAAGACUAUGAGUAUUUUACAAAAACCUAGCCAAUGUGUUUUGUAACUUGAAAAAGUAUAGAUUGUUGCUAAGUAUAAGUAGGUCUUGAAAGCUUGAAUAGUGUCAUGCUGUGCAGAAUAGCAGUUAAUGUUUAUAACUAUUUUUGCAAUGGGUUAUGUAAUGCACUCGAGUAAUUUGGGAAGAGUAGUACUUGCUGAGAAAUUAAAUUCUGUAUUCCUCUUUUAAAUUAGUUCAGCCUAUCUCUAACUCAUGCAAAACUCACAGGGUCAGUGUUGGGAAUGUACAGACAUUUAUUUUGGAAAAAAAGUAUUACCAUCAUAAAAUACUCAUCUUUUUGUAUGAAAUUUGUAUCUCUUUAUGAAUCAUGCUCUUACAUAUUAAGACAACAUUCACUGGGCAGAGUUCUGAUACUAUGGCUUCAUUUAUUAGUCAGGAAAUCCUUUCCUAUUCUGAAGAGAUUAAAAAGAAGUGCUCAUCUUGGUUUUGUGGGCUGAUAUGGCCAAGUUUCAUUAAGUCUUUCUCUAGUACUGUUUUUCAUGGGUUCACAUGAGCACAGAUUUUUAAAUGCAUUGGUUAAUCUACUAGAACUCAAAAGGAACUUAUUCAGCUGGUUGAGCUUAUUUAGACAGGGAGACAGAGAUUGCCCUAUAGCUAAAGUCUUUAUUAAUUUACAGUAUGAAAUUUCUAAUCCGAAACUCAUAAGCAUUUAGAAAAUCAAUGCUUUAUGGAGAGAGGAUAAUAUAGAUUGUGAGCUUAGUAGAAGGGAGGCCAUUUGGGUAUUUACUUUGUACACAUUAUUCCCAGGAGAUCUGAAUGAAGAGCUCUAUCUAAACUAUUUUUAUGUAAGAAUCCUUUGAACAAGAAAGUUCAUACCAUUGGCCUCCUUCAGCUCAUUAUAAAUAGCACUUUCAAAAACCUGUGCAUUUUCUUGGAAGCAAUCAGUGAGUGCAGACAACAGUUGAACAGAGGACAAUAACAUUUACCUUUCAGCAAGACUAAGAGUUACCUUGCUUAUUUAUCAGCUGGAAUAACACUCUGGCUGCCAUUGAGACAGAUAUGGAGUUGCUAUAUUGGUAAUUACUAGAUCAGGGCAUCCGCCAGCUGUUCUGGCAAAGGUUCAGCCUUUAUUUCCUCACUAUGCAGACCAUGAAACUCAACGGAAAAUGUAAUCAGUCCCUGAGCAGAACACUUAUCCUUUCAUAUCCCAAAGCUGCCUUUACAUGAUGUUAGGAACUUGGGCUUGUUCUAUGUUAUUUCUUUUAUCUUGUAAUUCCCAAAUUUUGUAUUAUACAGUGGCCCAGGUACAGCAUGAGGCUAGACAGUUGUCCAGGUUCAGCCUUGCCUAUGAUGCAGGAGUUUAGACUUUCAUACUGAAAUAUGUGCAUACGUGGUCUUAGACACUCUCACCCCAAUAGAGCUGUAAAACCUAAAACUUCCAUGUACUGGGAGGGUUCCUCAAUCACUGCAUUUUUAAGCUUUGGGUGGUAGGUUACAUCUUCUCUGUCAGCAGUACUGGUCCCAUGUCCUGAGCCCUUUGUCAGAAGAGCUAUAAUUUCUCUGGACAUGUUCUCCAGAGAGGAGUACACCCCAAGCGCAGCAUUUCGCACUGCUCCCCAGACAGCCAUCAAGGGAGGGACAUGCCCAAUGGGAGUACUUGAAGUCACUCCUUGGAGGGUGCCAUUGACAGAGAAGGAAUUUAUCUCUACUGGACUGCUUCUGUAACAUUUUCUUCUAACUUUCCAACAAUCAAGACAGUGUCCUGUUGCCGAACCAAGAGCCUGCCUUGGCUAUCAGAUCCCAUUUACAUCAAUGAACAAUGUUCUAAGUAAAAAUGUUCACAGUAAAAACUUUUCUCACUGAAAUCAAAAUAAUAAAUGAGUUGUCUGGGGAGAGUGGUGCUGCCCUGCUAAAUAAGUGUCACUUUGGAAAUAGGGAUAUUAACAAAAAAUAUAUGUGUAGGCAAAGUCCAGACACUUGUUUUGACAGUACACAAGUUUGGGCCCUUGUCAAACUGCUUUCUGUUUUCACUUCCCCUAUUACACAUGGAAUUACACACCUAUUUUCAACGAGUAUAUAACAAUGCAGGAGAUUACCAGUAUACUACAGCACAUAUUUGCCUUUAGAUUGGCUUAAUGUAUUUUUAGGUUUAUUCGCCUGGCUUGGAGAAUAAACAUGAACAAAAUUCAAACCCUGCUUAUGCUUUAAUUAUAAAGGUUUACACUGGGCCUACACUCUGCAUUCCCUUUCCACAGAUGUACAUUUCUGCAGGGUGAUUUAGAUACUUUACCUGCCUCGCUGGAUCUCCUUGUUGUAAACAUGCAACUUUAUUUAAAAUAUGAAUUCCUGAAUAAGACACAAAUAAAAUUUUAAAUAAGAGAUUUUCAUCCGUAAUUAUCUACCAAUAAAAAUAGUUUUAUAUGCUUAAUAAUGAAUAUAAUUGGGAAUUUUUAUACACAUUAAUGUGUAAGUAUUUGCAAUUAUUGGUUUACAUUAUUUUUCUAUCAAUCUUUUUAUCUCUGUGGAAUAAAAAUCCAGAACAUUUUUAACCUAAGCAUAUACGUUUGCAAACCAGAUAAAUGUUGUGAUUAUCUCUUCCUGUAUAUAAUUCCUCAUGAGGGAUUCAGUUAAUUGAACAUACCUUUCAAAAGAUAAUCUAUGGCUUAAUUAAGCUUAGCAAAUAUAAAAUUUGAAACCACAUACCCUCUAUUGGCAGCAAAGUUAGGGAUUUUUUUAUUCCUUUUUACCCAGCACUGCUAAUGACUACUUUGCACAGGCACAUAAUACAUGCAGGUAGCAUGACUAUACCCAAAACAGAAGUGAAGUUUUUUAUUUCACUGUCAGAGAUCAAAAGUCGUUUUUUUUAUAAAUACAUCAACUCUUCCAAUAACAAAAUAAGAACUUAUUGACGUUGAGUAAAUUUCAUAGCUAGUAGAAAAGACACAUAUCAUUGUAAUGUGUGAAAUUUUAAUCAGAAAUGUUGUGAAGGAUAAAGGUAAACUGACUGCUAUAAUUAAUGUGUUCUGCCACAGAGAUUUAGCUGGCACAUUUGAGAAGUGUGGUUUAUGUUAACUAUUCCACUGCUUGAAUUCUGUUCUUUCUAAAUGGUGGUACUGUUUGAUGGGCUUAUGUUACACUGCUUUCUAGUCUUCAGUAAGAUUUUCUUAAUCUACAGUAUGGUCCUGUAAAAACUAGAAGGUUACAGUAGCGCAGUGGUAGAUGGAUGUGCUGAUGUAGACAAGGCUGUACUUGGUAGUGUGUAUUAAACCUGAUAGCAAAA